rnacentral:rRNA from 1 species
GACGAACGCUGGCGGCGUGCUUAACACAUGCAAGUCGAACGGAAAGGCCCUGCUUUUGCGGGGUGCUCGAGUGGCGAACGGGUGAGUAACACGUGAGUAACCUGCCCUUGACUUUGGGAUAACUUCGGGAAACUGGGGCUAAUACCGGAUAGGAGCUCCUGCUGCAUGGUGGGGGUUGGAAAGUUUCGGCGGUUGGGGAUGGACUCGCGGCUUAUCAGCUUGUUGGUGGGGUAGUGGCUUACCAAGGCUUUGACGGGUAGCCGGCCUGAGAGGGUGACCGGCCACAUUGGGACUGAGAUACGGCCCAGACUCCUACGGGAGGCAGCAGUGGGGAAUAUUGCACAAUGGGCGGAAGCCUGAUGCAGCAACGCCGCGUGCGGGAUGACGGCCUUCGGGUUGUAAACCGCUUUCGCCUGUGACGAAGCGUGAGUGACGGUAAUGGGUAAAGAAGCACCGGCUAACUACGUG